ACAAUAUAUGCAUCUGUUGAUUUUGCAAUUGUCCAGGUUAGAUUCCCUGAAAUAUUCAAGGAUUUCUUGGACAUUUUUUUGGGCAUUGUUGAUCCAUGAAUCAGCUGUUUUCGAAUUUGGAAACAGUUGAAUUCCUGGCAAACCAUUUCACCACACGUGUUCAGUUUGUCAUUUUGAGUUCAUGCCCCCCUUCUUACACAGCGGCGAGGCCAACCAGGGCGUACGUAGUGCGUCCAUUUAGGCGUGGCGGCCUGCGGAUUUGGGUGCACGGCAGCCGGCCAACAUGCUGUGUGGGCGUGAUGUUGUCGGCAUGUUGUACAUGAGUGUUGGCUGCCAGAGGCGCGCGUGGCUGACCGAUAUGUGUGUGGUGCGUGAGGAUAGCUUUAUUCAGAUUCUUCCAAUUUCGAGAGAGGAAGAGAACUCAGUAGUACUGCCAAUUUUGGCACGCAAUGUUCGUUUUUCAGAUUCACCAUGAUUGGUAAUGUUGUUUAGUACUGUAAACUUUGUCAUGGUUCAAUAAAUAGGCAGUUAAUUUUUGUUGUUG
rnacentral:lncRNA from 1 species